rnacentral:rRNA from 1 species
GAUGAACGCUGGCGGCGUGCCUAAUACAUGCAAGUCGAGCGAACAGACGAGGAGCUUGCUCCUCUGACGUUAGCGGCGGACGGGUGAGUAACACGUGGAUAACCUACCUAUAAGACUGGGAUAACUUCGGGAAACCGGAGCUAAUACCGGAUAAUAUAUUGAACCGCAUGGUUCAAUAGUGAAAGACGGUUUUGCUGUCACUUAUAGAUGGAUCCGCGCCGCAUUAGCUAGUUGGUAAGGUAACGGCUUACCAAGGCAACGAUGCGUAGCCGACCUGAGAGGGUGAUCGGCCACACUGGAACUGAGACACGGUCCAGACUCCUACGGGAGGCAGCAGUAGGGAAUCUUGCGCAAUGGGCGAAAGCCUGACGGAGCCACGCCGCGUGAGUGAUGAAGGUCUUCGGAUCGUAAAACUCUGUUAUUGGGGAAGAACAAAUGUGUAAGUAACUAUGCACGUCUUGACGGUACCUAAUCAGAAAGCCACGGCUAACUACGUG